AGAGAAAGGAACCGCUUUGUCAUUGCACGUGCUUCUUGUUAAACAAAUCACUCCUCUAUUCUCGACCGUGAUUCGCUUUUUUUCUCCCCCCCUUUUUUUUUCGUGGGGAUUGAUGCACAAGCGAAGGUGCAGCCAAGUGUGCCACCAGAAAGUUUACCGCGGGAGAUGGCGAUGCUAGCAAGCAGAAGAGGCGGGCUGAGGAUGAGCGCGAUGUUUGAACCCUGAGCUUCGCAAAAUCCCGUCAGCAAAAAUCCUGACAAAACCAAUCAUGAGCUGUGGUGGUCCCGUGGCACCAGCCAUUCGUCCUUCCACAGACACGCUGACUAGGCCAGCCCGGGCUCAGGUGGCGGUGAUGCACCUCGACACGGGUUUCCACUCGCCAUAAAGCAGGAAAAAGAAGACAACGCAGUGAGACACACUCUCACAGAUGAGAGUGAGACAUGUCUACCAGCAAUCCCCUACCAACCCCCCCAAAAGUUUGCUAGCCAGUGUGGGAGACAUUUUUUUUUAUUAUUUUUUUAACAUUUUUUUUUAAAUCAAACAGGCCGAUUCAAGUACAUGUUUUUGAGAGGGGCCAGAUUCUAAAAAAAAAUAAAUAAAGUGAAGAGCCAAGGGGCCGGACUUCUUACAUUCCCUAUGUCUGAUCUGUUAAGCGUGGAAAUUAAAAUAAACUAUACACAUAAUUCCGGCUAAAACAUUCACUUUUAUAACCUAAGAAGUAAUUCAGCUAAAUUCCCCUCACUUAAACGGCCUGUGUUAAAACUUUUUAAUGAAAUAACAAGAAUCUUUGUGCUUGGCAACAGGCUUAACUGACAAAUGGGCUAAUUAACCUAAUGAUUAAAGGGCCAGAAUGAGGUUGUUAAAGGGCCACAAGUUGAACGGGUCUACUGUGAACUGUGACUUUGACAAAUGUUUUUUUUUUCUUUUUUUUUUUCUUUUUUUCAGUUUGUCUGUCGAUUAUUGCAUUACUAUCAUUAUCGCACAUUUGGGCCCUUGUCUAUACAUGUGAUAUUUCAUGUAAUGUCAAAAUAAGUCCCACUUAAAUCAGUUCGGUGUUGCUUGGUUUAACUAUUUCACAAAUGGAUAUUUUUUGUAUAAAUGCAGUAAAUAAAAACUUUCUAAAAGCAUUCUAAAGCCAUCGCAUGCAAAAGUAAAGGGUUUAAUUAAAAGAAUUUGGACGAUAACGUAAUUAUAGUAUGGUAGUUAUCAUUAAUAAAUGGUAAAUUAAUAGUUAAUUCAUCUCUAGUUAAUUAUUGUGUCACAAUAGAAAUUGAUUAUUGUAAAGUAGUAAGUGUUGUUUAUAAUACCUUGUAUCUAGUUGAUAAAUAUUGUA